GUUUCCUAAUUCAUUUUGUUAUCUUCUACUCCACCGAUUGAGCUCAUUUCCAUGUAAAAAAUGAUGUGCCUUUCCCUAAAUCUUCAUUUUAUCUUGCUUGUGCUUUGGGUCAUCAACACUUUGCCCUGGAUCUCGAUGCUUGUACUAUCUUCAGCUCUCAGAAGUUCCUUGUUGUUUAUGCCAAAAAUAAGAAGUUCCGGAGAACCGUUAUUAUCAAUUAAUCCGGAACCUCAGCUGAUCAGGAGAAUGACAGAAUAGCAAGAGGCUAACAGACUGGUGAUCUUGGGCAUAUUUAUAUGCUUAACGCACCAAUAUACACAUAGAUUUGCACUUAGUUUAAGAACUUUUGUAUGAAUUCUUAAGUAUAAUUCAGCUUUUAUUCCGUUUUGUGCCUAAUGGAUAUGAUUAGUAUUUUUAGAAUCAAAAUCAUAAAGAAUUAUGCAUAAUUGGAUACAAGGAGGAUAUGGAAGCAGUAAAGGAAUGCAAGGGACGGAAAUUAAGCUGAAAAUGGGAAGUUGGAACAAAGAAAUCCUCAUUUGAAGACACUUCGCGUCGCGAUGAGCAACAAAAUAGAAAUGGUUGAAUUCCAGUGAAGGUUUGCAAAACCACUGUGUCAUGAAGAAGUUUCGUUUAUCAGAUUUGGUGACCUGAAGGUUUAGCACAUCAAAGAGGAUGAUUAUUUUGCAAUUGUCCCAAUCCAGUGGCUCACCGCGAUAGUGGCGCGUCGUGCCGAGGGUGAAUUUUAAAAUUGUUGGGGUAUGCUUAAGCUCCAUAAUUUUUUAGAUUUUAAUGGAAAAUAGCAAUCGAAGGCAUGGCACGACACGCCGGAUGGAUAAAUUUGGAAUAUUUUAGCUAUUUUGCCCCAGCUAUAAAAGGAAUAAUCCAAGAUAAUGUGAAGGACUUUUGUCAAGUGGAGCAGCGGCGGAAAAACAAAAAUUUCUCUCUUUUAAGGUUCAUAAACAUUCUUUGGAAUUUCUUUAUUUCAAGGAUUGAUUUGGGUAUUAUUUGUUACUUAUUUUGGAUGGUUAAUUCAAACAUGAGUAGCUAAACACUCCCUUUCUGGGGUUGAGGCUAAGAACACGAGUACUGUUUAAUAUUCUUAUUCAUAGUCUUUCCUUUGGAUUAUCA